UGGGGAAUUUUGGACCAUGGGGGAAACCCUGAUCCAGCCAUCCCGCGUGUGCGAUGAAGGCCUUCGGGUUGUAAAGCACUUUUGGCAGGAAAGAAACGUCAUGGGUUAAUACCCCGUGAAACUGACGGUACCUGCAGAAUAAGCACCGGCUAACUACGUGCCAGCAGCCGCGGUAAUACGGAGGGUGCAAGCGUUAAUCGGAAUUACUGGGCGUAAAGCGUGCGCAGGCGGUUCGGAAAGAAAGAUGUGAAAUCCCAGAGCGCAACUUUGGAACUGCAUUUUUAACUACCGGGCUAGAGUGUGUCAGAGGGAGGUGGAAUUCCGCGUGUAGCAGUGAAAUGCGUAGAUAUGCGGAGGAACACCGAUGGCGAAGGCAGCCUCCUGGGAUAACACUGACGCUAAUGCACGAAAGCGUGGGGAGCAAACAGG
rnacentral:rRNA from 1 species